rnacentral:rRNA from 1 species
ACACAGUAGCCGCGGUAAUACAGAGGGUGCGAGCGUUAAUCGGAUUUACUGGGCGUAAAGCGUGCGUAGGCGGCUUCUUAAGUCGGAUGUGAAAUCCCUGAGCUUAACUUAGGAAUUGCAUUCGAUACUGGGAAGCUAGAGUAUGGGAGAGGAUGGUAGAAUUCCAGGUGUAGCGGUGAAAUGCGUAGAGAUCUGGAGGAAUACCGAUGGCGAAGGCAGCCAUCUGGCCUAAUACUGACGCUGAGGUACGAAAGCAUGGGGAGCAAACAGGAUUAGAUACCCCUGUAGUCCCUGUCUCUUAUACA